GGCAGGACCAGGUGGAGGUAGUUGAAUCAUGGGGCCGGUUUUCCCUAUGCUAUUCUCGUGAGAGACAGUGAGUCUCACAAGAUCUGAUGGUUUUAUAAGCAUCCAGCCCUGCUUGCACUUACUCUAUCCUGCUGUCCUACGAGGAAGGUGCCUGCUUCUCCUUUGCCUCUGUCAUGAUUGUGAACUUCCUGAGGCCUCCCCAGCCAUGCAGAACAGUUUAUGAAGAACGUUCAAGAGUGUGGUGCUUCAUACUGAGUGUCCACUUGACUGGAUUGAAGGAUACAAAGUAUUGCUCCUGGGUAUGUC
rnacentral:lncRNA from 13 species